AUGGAGGACCGAACCGACUUACGUUGAAAAGUGAGCGGAUGAACUGUGGGUAGCGGAGAAAUUCCAAUCGAACUUGGAGAUAGCUGGUUCUCUCCGAAAUAGCUUUAGGGCUAGCCUCAAGUGAUGAUUAUUGGAGGUAGAGCACUGUUUGGACGAGGGGCCUCUCUCGGGUUACCGAAUUCAGACAAACUCCGAAUGCCAAUUAAUUUAACUUGGGAGUCAGAACAUGGGUGAUAAGGUCCGUGUUCGAAAGGGAAACAGCCCAGACCACCAGCUAAGGUCCCAAAAUAUAUGUUAAGUGGAAAAGGAUGUGGCGUUGCCCAGA
rnacentral:rRNA from 1 species